rnacentral:rRNA from 1 species
GAUGAACGCUAGCGGCAGGCUUAACACAUGCAAGUCGAGGGGUAGAAGGAGCUUGCUCCUUUGAGACCGGCGCACGGGUGCGUAACGCGUAUGCAAUCUACCUUUUGCAGAGGGAUAGCCCAGAGAAAUUUGGAUUAAUACCUCAUAGUAUGUGAGGAUGGCAUCAUUUUCACAUUAAAGUCACAACGGCAAAAGAUGAGCAUGCGUCCCAUUAGCUAGUUGGUAGGGUAACGGCUUACCAAGGCUACGAUGGGUAGGGGUCCUGAGAGGGAGAUCCCCCACACUGGUACUGAGACACGGACCAGACUCCUACGGGAGGCAGCAGUGAGGAAUAUUGGACAAUGGGCGCAAGCCUGAUCCAGCCAUGCCGCGUGCAGGAUGACGGUCCCUAUGGAUUGUAAACUGCUUNUGUAGAGAAGAACUACUACUUCGU